rnacentral:lncRNA from 1 species
CUGUACUAAGGAUCCAGCGGCUGCUCUGGGGCCUCCUGCCUGGUUACUGCACACUGACGGUCACUGCUGCACUACGGGCAAGAGCCAGGGAUUGUACAUUGUGACACCAAGAAGACUCCUGUUGGUUCAGGGGGAGGCAGCGGUAGCCAGCCUGAGACGAAUAUUACUGUUUCUCUCAUAUGAAGAAUCUGGACUUCUUAAAUCAUAAAUAUAUGUGGCAUGUCAGUAGACGAGGGUGAAGACCUGUGGCGGGGAAAAGGACAGACACGAGAAGGUCUACCCUCCUACCCUUGUGCCCUCCCUGCAAAAAGAAAAAAUACAACAAGACCAAUUUGUGUUGCCAAUAUACUCACUGGAGUAUGGUCAAGCUCCCAGUGGCCAGCCACUUAAAGGUAACUUAGUCCUUCCCCACCCCCUUCUAAGUCCUUCCCCACACCCCUGAGUCCUUCCCCACUCCCCUCUGAGUCCUUCCCCAUUCCCUCUGAAGCCAUCAAUUGUGAACAGCUACACUUUAGCCAAUUGGUCACCGGUUUUUAAGGACUCUCUUCAAAGGCAUCCUAUCUAGAUUGCUUCUUUUUUUUUUUUCUUUUUUCUUGGGGGGAUCAUCACAUGUGUGGUCACAUGUUUCUCAUUCUCAACUAUAAGUCCACAGUCAUAGAUACCACUGCAAAAGAAGCUUCCUAGUCCAUAGAAGCCGGCAGCUGCACAGAUCAUGGACUUCCACAUGGUUUCCUGCGGCAGCAUA